AGUGAACGCUGGCGGCAGGCCUAACACAUGCAAGUCGAGCGGCAGCGCGUCCGACCACCCUCGGGUGGUCGGAUGGCGGCGAGCGGCGGACGGGUGAGGAAUGCAUCGGAAUCUGCCUCGUUGUGGGGGAUAACGUAGGGAAACUUACGCUAAUACCGCAUACGACCUACGGGUGAAAGUGGGGGACCUUCGGGCCUCACGCGAUGAGAUGAGCCGAUGCCGGAUUAGCUAGUUGGCGGGGUAAAGGCCCACCAAGGCGACGAUCCGUAGCUGGUCUGAGAGGAUGAUCAGCCACACUGGAACUGAGACACGGUCCAGACUCCUACGGGAGGCAGCAGUGGGGAAUAUUGGACAAUGGGCGAAAGCCUGAUCCAGCCACGCCGCGUGGGUGAUGAAGGCCUCGGUUGUAAGACCU
rnacentral:rRNA from 1 species